UACGUAGGGACCAAGCGUUGUUCGGAUUUACUGGGCGUAAAGGGCGCGUAGGCGGCAAUUCAAGUCAGUUGUGAAAUCUCCGAGCUUAACUCGGAACGGUCAACUGAUACUGCUUUGCUAGAGUACAGAAGGGGCAAUCGGAAUUCUUGGUGUAGCGGUGAAAUGCGUAGAUAUCAAGAGGAACACCUGAGGUGAAGACGGGUUGCUGGGCUGACACUGACGCUGAGGCGCGAAAGCUAGGGUAGCAAACGGGAUUAGAUACCCCCGUAGUCC
rnacentral:rRNA from 1 species